ACACGACUACUAUUAGAUACCCCUGUAGUCCUAGCCGUAAACGAUACUCGCUAGGUGUCGGCCACGGUGCGACCGUUGUCGGUGCCGUAGGGAAGCCGUGAAGCGAGCCACCUGGGAAGUACGGCCGCAAGGCUGAAACUUAAAGGAAUUGGCGGGGGAGCACAACAACGGGUGGAGCUUGCGGUUUAAUUGGAUUCAACGCCGGAAAUCUUACCGGGACCGACAGCAACAUGAAGGCCAAGCUGAAGACUUUGCCGGAUUAGCUG
rnacentral:rRNA from 1 species